GGAAAUCCCUAAAUUUAAUGCCAGCGACAGAAGGUGACGUUUCCAACCAAUGUGAGAUCUCCUGUUGUACAAAUGAUAUAAAGAUAUACCCAGAACUAUGUAAAAGAUGACUGGAAGAAGAGAAGUUGCUGUUUUGUAUGAAUAUGUCAGAUGAAGAUUUGCAAUGAGUAAAGGGAUAGAGGAAGGAACAGAUAAAUAUGAUAUACCUAUGUUACCACGAAAAACCGAAGUUAGAGAAUGUCAGUUGUUUUUUUACCUAUAUUAUUUACGUCGGUUAAAGAACGAAUAUUUGAUUAUAUUCUCAUACAUUCGAAACAAUGCUGGAUAUGUCGACAAGAACAGAUAAGCUCUUGUUGGAUUGAAAACGAUAAGCAGAAAGAGAAGCGACAAAAAAAGCCAAAUCGCGAUUGAGGUCAUGUGCCGAGAAGAAAGAGCAUUUUUGAUUUGUAUUUUUUUUAUCUUUUAUCCUUCAGUUUUUUCUUUAAGCUACGUUCAUUAAUUGCGAGUAAACUAGAAGACAAUUGUUUUUAUUUUUUUCAAGAAAAGUGUCCAGAUAUUUCCUGAAAUGGCAAAGUCCAAAUCACAUUAUGUUUCAGCUACGCGGGACUUGACGUCGAAAGGGACAAUUCUCACAAUCCGAACAAUUCCAGAAAACCCACUUAGCUAGGUUACCAUUUUAACUUACUACAAAGACUUCAACGCCAAACACUAAUCGA